rnacentral:rRNA from 1 species
UGCCAGCCGCCGCGGUAAUACGAAGGGUGCUAGCGUUGUUCGGAAUUACUGGGCGUAAAGAGCAUGUAGGCGGAUGAAUUAGUCAGAGGUGAGAGCCCCGAGCUCAACUUGGGAACUGCCUUUGAUACUGUUUAUCUAGAGUCCGAGAGAGGUUAGUGGAAUUCCCAGUGUAGAGGUGAAAUUCGUAGAUAUCUGGAGGAACACCGGUGGCGAAGGCGGCCCACUGGGAUUGUUCUGACGCUGAGGCGCGAAAGCGUGGGGAGCGAACGGGAUUAGAUA